UACGAAGGGGGCUAGCGUUGCUCGGAAUCACUGGGCGUAAAGCGCACGUAGGCGGCUUUUAAGUCAGGAGUGAAAUCCUGGAGCUCAACUCCAGAACUGCCUUUGAUACUGAGAAGCUUGAGUCCGGGAGAGGUGAGUGGAACUGCGAGUGUAGAGGUGAAAUUCGUAGAUAUUAGGAAGAACACCGGUGGCGAAGGCGGCCCAACUGGUCCGGU
rnacentral:rRNA from 1 species